GAAAUGCGAUAAGUAAUGUGAAUUGCAGAAUUCAGUGAAUCAUCGAAUCUUUGAACGCACAUUGCGCCCGCCAGCAUUCUGGCGGGCAUGCCUGUUCGAGCGUCAUUUCAACCCUCGACGUCCCCUAGGGGAUGUCGGCGUUGGGGACCGGCAGCACACCGCCGCCCCCGAAAUGAAGUGGCGGCCCGUCCGCGGCGACCUCUGCGUAGUACUCCAACUCGCACCGGGACCCCGACGCGGCCACGCCGUAAAACACCCAACUCUGAACGUUGACCUCGGAUCAGGUAGGAAUACCCGCUGAACUUAA
rnacentral:misc_RNA from 1 species